CUGGGGAGGGAGGAAAGAGAUAGAAGUGAAGAGAGAACAAAGGAGAACUGGUCAUCACUAGAGCCACUUUUUGAGUCAGCAACUUUACUCCACUUUAAGUUGUUUGAGAUUUAGCACUGUUAGAAUCCGUAUGUGAUGUCAUCACUGGACAUUUUAUCCCAAGCCCACAGUUGUAUCCCGCUCCCAUACUGAGAGUGGGAGGGAUGACCUGCACCGUGCCACCACAUGUGUACCCUUUGAGAAACUGAUCUCAAGGAGCCUUCUUGUGAUGAACCCCUGACUCCCUGUCCUGGAAUAAUUAGAGAAUCUGUAUUAACAAUUUUUGCCUUUUUCCCAAGCCAGGUGACUUUUUGUAAGCAUCACAAACUAGCAGUGGUUGAGGUUUUUUCAGGCUGCCUUGCCUCCCCGUUGAGUAUUUUCUUUGUUGUUGAAAAUAAAGCAGUGAGGAGGAUGUCCAAUAAUCGGGGAGACUCUGUAAGGCCUCUCCUCCAGUGCGUUCACAGACUCUCCUCCUCCUGCCUCCUUCAGUCACACUGAAGCCGGCUACCUGCAGUUCCCUCACUGCUCCAAUUCAUGCCCUUCCCACUUUCCCUUUCCCAAACCUGCCUCUCCUUUCCUAGGUUUGUUUUAAAUAACCUAUUUCUCUAAUGUACAGUGUUCCUUAAGAUUUUGGAUUAUGUCUUUUGCAGGUGCAAAUUCCUGGGUUAGAAAACUUGCAAAUGUUUGUUCCAGACACUCUUGCUGAGGAGAAGAGUAUUAUUUUGCAGUUACUCAAUGCAGCUGCAGGAAAGGACUGUUCGAAAGAUUCAGAUGACGUACUCAUCGAUGCCUAUCUGCUUCUGACCAAGCACGGUGAUCGAGCCCGUGAUUCAGAGGACAGCUGGGGCACCUGGGAGGCACAGCCUGUCAAAGUCGUGCCUCAGGUGGAGACUGUUGACACCCUGAGAAGCAUGCAGGUACAGCUCAUCUCCAACUUUGCAGCAGUGUUACUUCAAGGACUUUUAGUAAGAAUGAACUGUUAGCUGCUCAUGAAUGAGGGGUUUGACUACCCUAGUAAUCACAAGUAUAUACUUCCCAAAAAUAUGCCUCAAUGUGUUAAUAGGUCAUUUUGCAGCAUAAUUUGUACAAUAUAUCAUUCUGUUAAGUUAAAUUAUACUGGAAUACUUGAAAUAAACCAUCUAUCUGGUUUAUAUCUUUUCUUAGUUCAGUCAUGUAGUUAGAUCUGUGGAGCUAUGAUCUAAAAGGAGUUAUGUCACUAAUAUAAUUUGUAGUUGUAGAAAUCCCAGUUCUCCAAGUACUCAGGUUUACUGGUUAUUUAAUUUUAAUUUUUUGUAGUGAAGGCUAUCCCCUCCCUACCUAACAGGGACCUCGUGACAGUUUCUAUAACUCAUUAGUUAUAAACUAUGAGAAGCUUUCUCAUUUAUCUGUGUUCAGCUUAGGAACAGUCAUGGUGAGUGUUCAUAUGCACCUUGAGCUCAGCCUCACCAGAACUGAGUAUACACUGGCCUGCUGUAUCCCUCACCCCAACAACUCUGCUUUUAUAUUCCGUCUCGGUGAAUGGUUCCGCGUUCACUCACAUGUUUAAACCAGAAGUGUGACAGCUAAUAUAAAUUCAGCCUCCCAUCUUUCCAGUUAAUACCUUGCCCUGGAAAGCCAGAAGCAUUUCCAGUAAAUGAUCCUUUCCCUGCAUCCCCAGAGCAGCUGCUAUAGUCAGCACUUUACCAUCCCUCUCCUGAACUAUUGCAGUUUCUGACUUUGAGUUUCCCUGCUUCAAACCUCACCUUCUGUCUCUCCAAUUCUGUGUUUGUUUUUGUGCUUCUAGAAUGAUCAUUAUAAUACAUCUGAUUGCAUCACAGAUCUACUUAAAAUACUGCAAAGAUUCUUCAUCUCUUAAGAACAAAAGUAAUAAAGUCUUGAUUUCUUAAUGUUUUGUAUAAGGCCCCUCAUCUGAUUUCUGUCUUAUUCCUACAUUUUCCUUCUUCACAUGCUGCUCCAAUACACACACACAUGCACACAUACACACACACACUCACACACACUCUGCACUGGCAGUACUGAACUACUUGAAGUUCUAGGAUAUCUCAAAGAUGUCAUGCCUGCAGUCCCAAAGGGUUCUUCUCCAUGGUGCUGAAUAUCCCAGCUGUCAAUGCCCACUGAAGCAUGUUGCUGUGUAGGAGAAGCUUUGCUUAAAAAUGACUUCUGAUCAGAUGGUUGUUGGCCUGGUAUCCCUGAGAUUGGCAUUGGUUUUGGACUGGUGUGGGACUAGAAUAACAACUGGUAACUGGGUUGGUUUUUAUGUCCUGUGCUUGAUUUUCCUCCCAGGUGGAUAAUCUUUUACUAGUUGUCAUGCAGUCUGCCCAUCUCACAAUUCAGAGAAAAGCUUUCCAGCAGUCCAUUGAGGGACUUAUGACUCUGUGCCAGGAGCAGACAUCCAGUCAGCCGGUCAU
rnacentral:lncRNA from 1 species